CAGCCUUUCGGCGUGAUUAUGUGGAGCGUGAGGAGUUAAACGCCCUCAUGCCUGCAUAUUCGUGUUCUUUGGGUGUACUUACCCGCAUGGUAGGUUAACAUCAAUUUCGAACGUCAUAAAAUGGUUGGAGGAAUGUAGCUUCGAUCUCGUAUUGAAGUGUUAUAGCCUCCGGCAGAUGUGAUGAUCGGGAUUGAGGAUUGCAACGGAUACCCUUCGGGGCUACCCGUCUGAUCUCUGAAAGUUACUCUGGUGCCGAAAGCUCGCUUACGGUCAUCAAAGUUGACGUUCAACAGGUUAGAACGGGAUAAA
rnacentral:rRNA from 1 species